rnacentral:rRNA from 1 species
UACGUAGGUGGCAAGCGUUGUCCGGAAUUAUUGGGCGUAAAGCGCGUGUAGGCGGCCCGGUAAGUCCGCUGUGAAAGUCGGGGGCUCAACCCUCGGAUGCCGGUGGAUACUGUCGGGCUCGAGUACGGAAGAGGCGAGUGGAAUUCCUGGUGUAGCGGUGAAAUGCGCAGAUAUCUGGAGGAACACCGGUGGCGAAGGCGGCGUUCUGGACUGCAACUGACACUGAGGAACGAAAGCCAGGGGAGCAAACGGG